rnacentral:rRNA from 1 species
UACGUAGGGCGCAAGCGUUGUCCGGAAUUAUUGGGCGUAAAGAGCUCGUAGGCGGCUUGUCACGUCUGCUGUGAAAUCCCGGGGCUCAACCCCGGGCGUGCAGUGGAUACGGGCUGGCUAGAGGCAGGCAGGGGAGAACGGAAUUCCCGGUGUAGCGGUGAAAUGCGCAGAUAUCGGGAGGAACACCGGUGCGAAGGCGGUCUCUGGGCCUGUACUGACGCUGAGGAGCGAAAGCUAGGGGAGCAAACGGG